GUAUGUCGUCCACACUUCUGAGGACGCGGUUGUGACGUGACCAGGAGCCGUGGCUUGUGCUUGUGGAAAGUGCCCGAGGAGUGCCAGCGUUUUGUCCCAGUGCACCCUUCCCGGAUGCCUUUCCCGCCCCGAUGCUGCCACAGCGAAGCAGCGCAGGGAUGGACAUGGCACUGAGGAUUUUUGCUGCAUUUGUAUAUUGUUCCAUAGAUGGUUCAUUCCUUUAUUUGUGACUUGUGUUCAUUCGUAUUGCACGUAGUGUAAACUCGGAAAUGUAUGUAUGGAAUUAUAAAGGAAUUACGUGGU